rnacentral:rRNA from 1 species
GACGAACGCUGGCGGCGUGCCUAAUACAUGCAAGUAGAACGCUGAAGAGAGGAGCUUGCUCUUCUUGGAUGAGUUGCGAACGGGUGAGUAACGCGUAGGUAACCUGCCUGGUAGCGGGGGAUAACUAUUGGAAACGAUAGCUAAUACCGCAUAAAAUUGAUUAUUGCAUGAUAAUUAAUUGAAAGAUGCAAUUGCAUCACUACCAGAUGGACCUGCGUUGUAUUAGCUAGUUGGUGAGGUAACGGCUCACCAAGGCGACGAUACAUAGCCGACCUGAGAGGGUGAUCGGCCACACUGGGACUGAGACACGGCCCAGACUCCUACGGGAGGCAGCAGUAGGGAAUCUUCGGCAAUGGGGGGAACCCUGACCGAGCAACGCCGCGUGAGUGAAGAAGGUUUUCGGAUCGUAAAGCUCUGUUGUAAGAGAAGAACGGGUGUGAGAGUGGAAAGUUCACACUGUGACGGUAUCUACCAGAAAGGACG